rnacentral:ncRNA from 1 species
GUAAAGUUUUAUUCUUGCUUUUUCGUUUAGUUUUUGUUUGUUCUAUAUGUAAGUUUAUGCGUGAGUUUACUUUUAAGGUUCUAAAUGGAUCAUAAAGGUUUAUUUUGAAAGAAAUUGAAUAUUCCUCAUUAGUUAUUAUUGGUUGAUCAAGUAUCCUUGUAUUUAGCAAUAUAUUUUAGUUUCGGUUAAAUUUUGUGCCAGCAGCCGCGGUUAUACCUUGGAAGCAUUUGAACGGGUUUGGUAUAUAAAGAUAGUUAUAUUGUUUAUUUUGGUUGAUUUUGUUUGUUUAGUUUUUAGGUGAAAUUUUUAUUAUUUUCGUUUGGUCUUGUUUUAUAUUUGGAGGCUAUGAAAUUUUAUUUUUAAACUAGGAUUAGAUACCCUAUUAUUUUAGAAUGUUAAAUUUUUGUACCUGAGUAGUACUAGUUAUGUUCUUGAAACUUAAAGAAUUUGGCGGUAUCUCAUUCCGUCUAGAGGAAUCUGUCCCGUUAUCGAUAGUCCACGCUGGACCUUACUUAUUUGAUUUUGGUUUGUAUACCGCCGUUUAUUGAUUAUCUUUUUAGAGUUUAUGUUAAUUUUCUGGUUUCUUUAUUUUGAUGUAUUUCAGGUCAAGGUGCAGCUUGUUUUUAAGUGGAAUGAUGGAUUACAUUGGUAUUUGUUUAUGGAUUGUUAAUUUUAAUAUUGGCAUGAAAUUGGAUUUAGUUGUAAUAAUUUGUAGAUUGUUAUUAUGAUAAUUGGUUCUGAGAUAUGCACACAUCGCCCGUCGCUCUCGUUUGUUUAUUAUGAUGAGAUAAGUCGUAACAAAGUGGUUGUACCGGAAGGUGCAGCUGGAUUGAU